rnacentral:rRNA from 1 species
UACGUAGGGUGCGAGCGUUGUCCGGAUUUAUUGGGCGUAAAGGGCUCGUAGGCGGCGUGUCGCGUCGGGAGUGAAAGCCCGGGGCUUAACCCCGGUUCUGCUUCCGGUACGGGCAUGCUGGAGUGUGGCAGGGGAGACUGGAAUUCCUGGUGUAGCGGUGGAAUGCGCAGAUAUCAGGAGGAACACCGGUGGCGAAGGCGGGUCUCUGGGCCAUUACUGACGCUGAGGAGCGAAAGCGUGGGGAGCGAACAGG